CCUACGGGUGGCUGCAGUGAGGAAUAUUGGUCAAUGGCCGAGAGGCUGAACCAGCCAAGUCGCGUGAGGGAUGACUGCCCUACGGAUUGUAAACCUCUUUUGUCAGGGAGCAAAGUCACUCACGUGUGGGUGUUUGAGUGUACCUGAAGAAAAAGCAUCGGCUAACUCCGUGCCAGCAGCCGCGGUAAUACGGAGGAUGCGAGCGUUAUCCGGAUUUAUUGGGUUUAAAGGGUGCGUAGGCGGGUUAUCAAGUCAGCGGUAAAAUCGUGGAGCUCAACCCCAUCCAGCCGUUGAAACUGGUGAGCUUGAGUGGGCGGGAAGCAGGCGGAAUGCGUGGUGUAGCGGUGAAAUGCAUAGAUAUGACGAAGAACUCCGAUUGCGAAGGCAGCAUACCGGCGCCCGACUGACGCUGAAGCACGAAAGCGUGGGUAUCGAACAGGAUUAGAUACCCCUGUAGUC
rnacentral:rRNA from 1 species